rnacentral:lncRNA from 1 species
UAACAUCACAAUACUUAUUUAUACUUAUAUUCAUUAUAGUUAUUAAUGUAUUAAAGGAUAAGUUCACUCAAAAAUGAAUUUUUGAGUGGCUGGCGUGAACACGGAUUAUUUUAUUCUGAAAAGUAACCGGAUGUUGUGAUGUUGUUUCGGUGAGUCACUUCCGGUCUGAGCCGCUUCAGCAUCCAGCAGAUAGAAUCCUGAUACCAACUGCCGGAAACCGCCGAGGGAGUCCGAGUCCUCGCGAGCGGCGGGAAGAAGAGUAUCAGUGCAUCGUUUUCAUCACAACAUCUAACAACAAGUCGCUACGUCACGUCUCAUUCACCUGAGGAGAAGUUGACAGCUCCCAGAUCAGCUGCAGGCUGGUUCACAGGAUGUUACUGCAUGUAAAUAAACUCACUCACUCUCUGGUCAUAGUAUCAUUGUUCCUAACACAUCCUCUUUAUUUGUACACUGUGACUUUUCAGCAUUCCUAUCAGAAGACAGACAAUAAGGACAGAUGAAUUAAAGGCUUCUGGUAAAAGUUAUUAUCUCAUAAAAACCUGCACACAAGGUAGAAAAUAUUACAUGAUGGGAUUUUAGGGACACGAUAGAAGACGACUUCCUGUAAGUAGUUUUCAGAGACAACCCCUUCUAUCACUGUGGGUGCUGAUCACAUGAGAGCUGCAGACAGUUUCACUUGUGUGUUUGUGAGACGCAGUUCACCAUCUAAAGCAGCAGGAGGACAGCCAGACCAACUCUGAUGUCACAUAAAGAUCUCUGGAUCAGACUGAACGUGACUGAGAAUGGAUGUGGAAACAAGCGAGUCGACACAAAGUCCUGGAGAAAGUGAUCUAGAACCAGAACAUCCAGAACACAAGAUACCCAGGGAGAUCAACGGGUCAGGUUUGGAUUCAGAUAACAGUGGCCUUGUAAGAGUGGACAGCUGCAGCUCCACUAUAUCCUGUGAGUCCUUCAGGAGUGAUCGGUCAAAAGAGGAACCAGAUGAUUUCAAAGGAAGUCAAUCUCCUGACAGUGAAGGGAUGAAUCUCUCAACUACCAAGAAGUCUGUUGAUGGAGGUGGGAUGAAAGCCUUGCUGAUGUACCUGCCAGGAGCUUCUUCCAUCGGUUGGUUCCUGAAAUCUGCUCUGCUGUUGCUGCCAGUCCUGUAUCACGGUGCUAAAAAAAAGUUGUUUAAAUGA